AUUGAACGCUGGCGGCAGGCUUAACACAUGCAAGUCGAGCGGUAACAGAUCUAGCUUGCUAGAUGCUGACGAGCGGCGGACGGGUGAGUAAUGCAUAGGAAUCUGCCCGAUGGUGGGGGAUAACCCGGGGAAACUCGGGCUAAUACCGCAUGAUCUCUUCGGAGCAAAGUGGGGGACCUUCGGGCCUCACGCCUUGGGAUGAGCCCAUGUCUGAUUAGCUAGUUGGUAGGGUAAAGGCCUACCAAGGCGACGAUCAGUAGCCGGCCUGAGAGGGUGUACGGCCACACUGGGACUGAGACACGGCCCAGACUCCUACGGGAGGCAGCAGUGGGGAAUAUUGGACAAUGGGGGCAACCCUGAUCCAGCAAUGCCGCGUGUGUGAAGAAGGCCUGCGGGUUGUAAAGCACUUUUAUCGGGGAAGAAUAGGUUGUCGUUAAUAGCGCCAACACUUGACAUUACCCGUUGAAGAAGCACCGGCUAACUCCGUG
rnacentral:rRNA from 1 species